rfam:Apaloderma vittatum contig23856, whole genome shotgun sequence.
GGACAGAUUAGCUCAGUCAGUUGAGCAUGGCGCUAACAACACCAAGGUCACGGGUUCGAUUCCCGUUCGAUCCC